AGAGACAGCAGCAGCCGCGGGAACACGGAGGGUGCAAGCGUUACUCGGAAUCACUGGGCGUAAAGGACGCGUAGGCGGAUUAUCAAGUCUCUUGUGAAAUCUAACGGCUUAACCGUUAAACUGCUUGGGAAACUGAUAAUCUAGAGUAAGGGAGAGGCAGAUGGAAUUCUUGGUGUAGGGGUAAAAUCCGUAGAUAUCAAGAAGAAUACCUAUUGCGAAGGCGAUCUGCUGGAACUUAACUGACGCUAAUGCGUGAAAGCGUGGGGAGCAAACAGGAUUAGAUACCCCUGUAGUCCCUGUCUCUUAUAC
rnacentral:rRNA from 1 species